UACGUGAUCUGGUGGGCCCCUUUACGCGCUCUAGUGGUGGCCUAUAACAGAGGCAUAUUAAGUGGUCAACGAGUGCUGGGUGUUGUGUAUGAGGAGUUACAGCGCCGCGGUGUUUUAGAAGCUCCCCGCGUAAGAGGCCUUGUCGAUGAAAUCAGAUGUAAGUACCAUUAGCUCGAUAAAUCACUGUUGUUGGCGGUUAGCAAUACAGCAGUUAUUUUUACCAUAGGCUAUCGGCAGUUUUACGAUGCGGGGAGUGACGAAGAAGAGGCUCUCGCUGAGGCGACGAGAGCUGCGGAGGAAACGGAUCUAGAGCGUCAAACCGUCCUCUACCAACCGCUGCAUGAGGAGGGGGUAGGGGAAGAGCCUAGAGCGAGCACCUCGGCAGCCCCGGCCGAGCCGAUACCGCAGGGUUUCACCAUAGGCCAUCGGCAGUUUUACGACGCGGUGAGCGACGAAGAAGAAGAAGAGGCUCUCGCUGAGGCGACGAGAGCUGUGGAGGAAGCAGAGCAUCAAACCGCCCUCUACCAACCGCAGUAUGAGGAGAGGGCUGAGGAAGAGCCUAGGGUGAGCACCUCGGCAGCAUCGGCCGAACCGAUACCGCUGCAACCCGAGUCUGAUGACGACGAGGCGUCGACUAUUCUCAACCCCUCCUUGAUGUUUAGCGAUCGGUCUGAUAUACUGGCUGUGUACCGGCAAGCCAGAGCAAACGAUGACGACGGAGCGAUAGCGGGUCCAUCGUAUCACCACCAGCGUCAGCAGGAAGAUGACCUCGUACAGCCCGAGAAUCAGCUGGG